AAGACUAUAGACCUGCGGAGUACCUGCGGAAGGAUCAUUAGAAAUGCGGGGCUGCUGUAAGUGGCCUUCUUUUUUAACUGUGCACCGUUUUAAAUUGGGGUGGAGCGAAAUUCAUUUCAAUCCACCGCCGCCCGGGUGGCAUAAAUCAUCUCCCUUACGGGGGCCGAGGAGUGCGCCUAAUUAUUUGACUAAUCUGACUGAUCAUUACAAUGAAAUUGUUAACAUAUAAACAACUUUCAA
rnacentral:misc_RNA from 1 species